UGAGGGCCCUAUGGUCGCCCGGCUUUGC
rnacentral:sRNA from 1 species